ensembl:lncRNA
UUUCCGCGCUUGAUGGGGCCCCGCAACUUCGCGGUCCGUGAGGCGAACCGCCAUCAACCUGAUCCCGAACGGUCCGCGAAUCGAACCCCCAUCAACCUGAUCCCGAACGGUCCGCGAAUCGAACCGCCAUCAACCUGAUCCCGAACGGUCCGCGAAUCGACCUGAUCCCGAACGGACCGCGAAUCGACCUGAUCCCGAACGGACCGCGAGGCGAACCGCCAUCAACCUGAUCCCGAACGGUCCGCGAAUCGAACCCCCAUCAACCUGAUCCCGAACGGUCCGCGAAUCGAACCGCCAUCAACCUGAUCGCGAACGGACCGGAGGCCAACAACCUGAUCGCAAACGGACCGGAGGCCAACAACCUGAUCGCAAACGGACCGGAGGCGAACCGCCAUCAACCUGAUCCCGAACGGUCCGGAGGCCAACAACGUGAUCGCUAACGGACCUCGGGUACCCCGAGAAAGGACCGACGGCAUCAUACUAUCAAUUACAUUCCUAUUGUCCAAAUAAAUCUGAAAUAAAUAAUGAUAUGGUCUCUGUCUCGUUAUUUUGUUAUGGUCAACCAAUAAUGUAUUUUACUGAUAAUUGUAACUAGGUUGGACUGCACUGCCUGAUAACCAGCUACAAAUUUUAUUAAAAAGUACUGAAAAUGAAAAUGUAGGCCUACUGUAAUUUUUAAAUAAAUAUAUUCAUUAAUAUUAAUUGUACCUAUGAUAAUAUAUUAAUUACCUUCAUUCAUGAUUGUUCAUAGUGCAUUAACUAACAGAUACAACUUUAAAAUUUUUAAAUAUAUCAGUAAAUGUUGAAAUUAACAAGGAACAAUAUGCAUUUAUUAAUGUAUCAUAUUGUAAAGUUUUAUCAUGUCAUAUAAUGGUUUUUUUUCUUUCUUUUCUUCCUUUUGCUGAGUGUUACAUCUGCUCCUUACAGGCCAGCAGCAAGUUGUUGGUUUUAUUUCACAGUAGACCAGAGAGCCAUUUUGCUGAAGUCCUCCAGGACUGUGAUUGGUGUCAUGAAUCCAGUAUAUACCAGUAUUGGGCAGGUUUAUGGACAGGCAACCUGCGAGAAACUUAUGAUGAUCCAUCAUGUGACUUUCUGUUGAACCACCUGUGAUUGUGAGUAUCAAGCAUGCAUAUCUCAAAUUUAGUUUUUAAUAUUUGAGAAGGAGGUUCCUCCUGAAGAAGUACAACCUGUGUUUGGUUGAAGAUGUGAAAAGUAGAACUGAAAAAAAUAAACAUAUUGAACAAUCCUGUCUCUAUCCA